CUAGCAUUUUUCCCUAGAGCUUUACUUUGCUCUUCAAGGUAUUUUGAGUGGCGCAGCUUGAGGCGCCUCCUGAUCUUGCCGAUUUCACACGGAAAUUGGCAUCACCGAGUGAGUCACUCAUCCGAAGUUGAACAGCUUAAAUACGCACAUGUCUUAAAAUUCACCGCUAGUUUGGAGCUAAAUCUCUUCCAAUUGAUUUGAGAAGCUCUUUGGCUAAAUCUCUUGCUAUAGUGUCUUUCUUUGUGUAUGGAUUUGUAAACUGGUGUUUGGGAUGCAACACUCACCAAUGGAGAUGACUUCACAUUGGAC